rnacentral:tRNA from 1 species
AUUUAUUUAGUAUAUCAGUACAUUUGACUUCCAAUCAAAAAGUUUGAUUCUUAUCAAAAUAAAUA